CCUGGCAGUUUGAGCUAGUGGGUACCACCUGAUCCCAUUUCGAACUCAGUAGUGAAAACACUAAGCGCCGAUGAUAGUGUGAGGUUUCCUCAUGUGAAAGUAGGUCACUGCCAGGA
rnacentral:rRNA from 1 species